GCCUGGAACACUCACUCCGAUGCCCUCUCCACGAUCCCCUUCGGAUCCCCGCACCGCUGCGGGCAGCAGGCGUCAGCAGACACGGGUUAAGGCGGACGGGAGGAGCGCGGGCGGAACGCACUGCCGCCUUGGGAAAGGAUUUAACGUCGGAUCUGGGCGAGAGCUGGGUCGAGCCUAAAAGCCCGAGGCGGUGAAGGCAGCGGAUCCCGCAAGAGGUGUCCUUUUUCUUUCACCGAGGAAUAAACAUGGAGGAUCUGGAACAAGGUCACUUAAGGAGACAGCGUGUGAGCAAGAGGCUGGGAUCCAGGGACAUGUCCUGAUACUUAUUGAACUGGUUCUGCCUUUACUAAGAUGCCUAGUACUUCUCUUUGGCAUGUGAGAAUAUUCAGUCUUAUUGUUCCAGCCUUUGCAGCUUCAGCAGAAGUUUGAAGACCACAGAAAAAAAUCCUGUUCAAUGACCUAUGAAAGUAUUGUCUGACUUCCCAAGCCACAGUGAUAGCUCUAAAGGAAUAGAUAUCUUGCCUGCCUGGCUCACCACUGUUUCCUCGGAACCUAGAACAGUGCUUGCCUCUCAUAGACAGCCAGGAAAUACGUGUUCAGUGGAUGGCUAACUGAAUGAACCACAGAAGAAUCCCAUCAAGAAGGGCGGGCUGGUGUCAUUAGACCCAUUUUCAGAGAGAAUAACUGAGUUCCUGGUGAUGGUUCCUGGUCCAAGUCCAUGUGUUUGCUGCCUGCAGGGUUGGCCCUCAGGAGCUCCUUGAAUUCCACACUUGCAUGUUGGGAUGAAUGCCAUCUCACUUCCCAGAAAGCACCGCUCUCUCCCUGAGACUCUGCUCCUUUGCAGCUACAGGAAAGCCUCAGCUCCACACUUCCCACUCCUUGCCCCAUCAUCCACCCAGUUCUUUAGUUCUGGCUUCCUUUCCUCACCUAACUACCUGCCCAGUUCCUUUAGGAUCUCUUCUCUUCAUCCCUCAGCGCUCACCUCAAGUCCCCGUGAGCCUCCCAAGGCCAGAAACCUUGGCAUCCCACUUCGUCCCUGAGCUAUUUUUUCCUCCCAUGUGUCCAAGUCAUUAUUACUGCUCCGUCUCCUCUGUCUGCACUUCUGGAAGUCUGCCGCCCAUUCAGCCUCUUCUUGCUGCUCCACCUCAGCCAAAACCCUCGCGCAGACACUUUGCUCACCACUAGGCGCCCCUCCCACUCCUUGGUGAGGACAAGUGGUCCUUGGAAAUUCCCACCCUGUUCUCCUGGGGGCCCACAGCCAGGCUAGUCUGCUGUAAAGCCUGGCAUCUCCUACUCCCCCAUCCCAGCGCCACCCCCCUGUCCUGCCUCCCAUUGACUGCUCCUCACUCCCUUUCCCUGUAACUGCUGGAAUCUGUGGAUACAGCUCUUCAGAAUCUCCAGUCCCAUAAAUGGUUGAGUUUU